rnacentral:rRNA from 1 species
UACAGAGGGUGCAAGCGUUGUCCGGAUUUAUUGGGCUUAAAGGGUGCGUAGGCGGCUCUUUAAGUCAGGGGUGAAAUACUGCAGCUCAACUGUAGCAUUGCCAUUGAUACUGAAGAGCUUGAGUACAGAUGAGGUAGGCGGAAUUUAUGGUGUAGCGGUGAAAUGCGUAGAUACCAUAAAGAACACCUAUUGCGAAGGCAGCUUACUAAGCUGUAACUGACGCUGAGGCACGAAAGCGUGGGGAGCGAACAGG